rnacentral:rRNA from 1 species
UACGUAGGGGGCAAGCGUUGUCCGGAAUCAUUGGGCGUAAAGCGCGUGUAGGCGGUUCAGUAAGUCUGCUGUGAAAGUCCAGGGCUCAACCCUGGGAUGCCGGUGGAUACUGCUGGACUAGAGUGCGGAAGAGGCGAGUGGAAUUCCCGGUGUAGCGGUGAAAUGCGCAGAUAUCGGGAGGAACACCUAUGGCGAAGGCAGCUCGCUGGGACGUUACUGACGCUGAGACGCGAAAGCGUGGGGAGCAAACAGG